rnacentral:rRNA from 1 species
GACGAACGCUGGCGGCGUGCCUAACACAUGCGAGUCGAACGGAGAUAUGAUUUCGGUUGUAUCUUAGUGGCGAACGGGUGAGUAACGCGUGAGCAACCUGACUCUUAGAGGGGGAUAACACUCGGAAACGGGUGCUAAUACCGCAUAAGACCACGACAUGGCAUCAUGACGAGGUCAAAGGAGCAAUCCGCUGAGAGAGGGGCUCGCGUCCCAUUAGAUAGAUGGCGGGGUAGCGGCCCACCAUGUCAACGAUGGGUAGCCGAGCUGAAAGGCUGAUCGGCCACACUGGAACUGAGACACGGUCCAGACUCCUACGGGAGGCAGCAGUGGGGAAUAUUGGGCAAUGGGCGCAAGCCUGACCCAGCAACGCCGCGUGAGGGAAGAAGGCUUUCGGGUUGUAAACCUCUGUCCUUGGUGACGAAAAAAAUGACGGUAGCCAAGGAGGAAGCCCCGGCUAACUACGUGCCAGCCGCCGCAGUAAGAC